CAAAUAUAAUAAAAUGCUUCGCUGGGCGCAGCUUGAUACGACCGCAGAGGUCGAACCCUGAACAGUUGGGGCAAGUAUGGACACAACAUUCAAGCUUGAUACAGCUCUGAAUUUGGAUUGUGAUUAAAUAUUUGACACAGCAUAGGUUUCUGACACAGAAAGAAUGUGGUCUAAGAACUUCAAUUUUUUUAAUUUACCUAUUAUGGUCCAAUGUCCAAAAUCAAAAUACAUGGUUAGAUUCAGCAUAUCAAAGAACCCCAUAUAUUCAAUUUUUGUUGAAAUCAAACAAAGUUUAAUUUUGGACCCCAACUUGGACAAACUUGAAAACUGGUCCCAUAAUCAAAAAUCUAAACACAUGUUUAGAUUCAGCAUAUCAAAGUACCCCAAGAAUUCAAUUUUUAUUAAAAUCAAACUAAGUUUAAUUUUGGACCCUUUGGACCUUAAUGUAGACCAAUUUAAAAAACGGGACCCAAAAUUAAAAAUCUAAAUACACGGUUAGAUUUGGCAUAUCAAAGAACCCCAAUAAUUAAAUUUUUGAUGAAAUCAAACAAAGUUUAAUUUUGGACCCUUUUGACCUCAAUAUGAACCAAUUUGAUAGCGGGCCCACAAAUAAAAAAUCUAAAUACAUGGUAAGAUUCAGCAUAUCAAAGAACCCCAUAUAUUCAAUUUUUGUUGAAAUCAAACAAAGUUUAAUUUUGGACCCCAAUUUGGACCAACUUGAAAACUGGGCCAAAAAUCUAAAAUCUAAAUACAUGUUUAGAUUCAGCAUAUCAAAGAACCCCAUAUAUUCAAUUUUUGUUGAAAUCAAACAAAGUUUAAUUUUGGACCCCAACUUGGACCAACUUGAAAACUGGGGCCAUAAUCAAAAUUCUAAACACAUGUUUAGAUUCAGCAUAUCAAAGAACCCCAAGAAUUCAAUUUUUGUUAAAAUCAAACUAAGUUUAAUUUUGGACCCUUUGGACCCUUUGGACCUUAAUGUAGACCAAUUUAAAAACGGGACCCAAAAUUAAAAAUCUAAAUACACGGUUAGAUUUGGCAUAUCAAAGAACCCCAAUAAUUCAAUUUUUGAUGAAAUCAAACAAAGUUUAAUUUUGGACCCUUUUGACCUCAAUAUGAACCAAUUUGAUAGCGGGCCCACAAAAUAAAAAAUCUAAAUACAUGGUAAGAUUCAGCAUAUCAAAGAACCCCAUAUAUUCAAUUUUUGUUGAAAUCAAACAAAGUUUAAUUUUGGACCCCAAUUUGGACCAACUUGAAAACUGGGCCAAAAAUCUAAAAUCUAAAUACAUGUUUAGAUUCAGCAUAUCAAAGAACCCCAUAUAUUCAAUUUUUGUUGAAAUCAAACAAAGUUUAAUUUUGGACCCCAACUUGGACAAACUUGAAAACUGGUCCCAUAAUCAAAAAUCUAAACACAUGUUUAGAUUCAGCAUAUCAAAGAACCCCAAAAAUUCAAUUUUUGUUAAAAUCAUACUAAGUUUAAUUUUGGACCCUUUGGACCUUAAUGUAGACCAAUUUAAAAAACGGGACCCAAAAUUAAAAAUCUAAAUCCACGGUUAGAUUUGGCAUAUCAAAGAACCCCAAUAAUUCAAUUUUUGAUGAAAUCAAACAAAGUUUAAUUUUGGACCCUUUUGACCUCAAUAUGAACCAAUUUGAAAGCGGGCCCACAAAUAAAAAAUCUUAAUACAUGGCAAGAUUCAGCAUAUCAAAGAACCCCAUAUAUUCAAUUUUUGUUGAAAUCAAACAAAGUUUAAUUUUGGACCCCAAUUUGGACCAACUUGAAAACUGGGCCAAAAAUCUAAAAUCUAAAUACAUGUUUAGAUUCAGCAUAUCAAAGAACCCCAUAUAUUCAAUUUUUGUUGAAAUCAAACAAAGUUUAAUUUUGGACCCCAACUUGGACCAACUUGAAAACUGGGCCCAUAAUCAAAAAUCUAAACACAUGUUUAGAUUCAGCAUAUCAAAGAACCCCAAGAAUUCAAUUUUUGUUAAAAUCAAACUAAGUUUAAUUUUGGACCCUUUGGACCUUAAUGUAGACCAAUUUAAAAACGGGACCCAAAAUUAAAAAUCUAAAUACACGGUUAGAUUUGGCAUAUCAAAGAACCCCAAUAAUUCAAUUUUUGAUGAAAUCAAACAAAGUUUAAUUUUGGACCCUUUUGACCUCAAUAUGAACCAAUUUGAUAGCGAGUCCACAAAUAAAAAAUCUAAAUACAUGGUUAGAUUCAGCAUAUCAAAGAACCCCAAGAAUUCAAUUUUUGAUGAAAUCAAACAAAGUUUAAUUUUGGACCCUUUUGACCUCAAUGUGGACAAAGUUGAUAACGGGGCCAAAAAAUCAAAAAUCUAAAUACAUGGUUAGAUUCAGCAUAUCAAAGAACCCCAUAUAUUCAAUUUUUGUUGAAAUCAAACAAAGUUUAAUUUUGGACCCUGAUUUGGACCAACUUGAAAACUGGGCCCAUAAUCAAAAAUCUAAAUACAUGUUUAGAUUCAGCAUAUCAAAGUACCCUAAAAAUUCAAUUUUUGUUAAAAUCAAACUAAGUUUAAUUUUGGACCCUUUUGACCUUAAUGUAGACCAAUUUGAAAACGGAACCAAAAAUUAAGAAUCUAAAUACACGGUUAGAUUCGGCAUAUCAAAGAACCCCAAUAAUUCAAUUUUUGAUGAAAUCAAACAAAGUUAAAUUUUGGACCCUUUGGACUUCAAUGUGGACCAAUUUAAAAACGGGGCCCAAAAUCCAAAAACUUAAUACACGGUUAGAUUCAGCAUAUUAAAGAACCCCAAGAAUUCAAGAAUAAAACCCCAUUGAAAUUGAUCAAGAAAUAAGCAAUUUAUACGAAGUAUCUUCUUUUGCACAAUACUGUGCAAUUGAAUAUUUCUUGCUAUUGUGCAAUACUGUACAAUUGACAAUUUCUUGCUAUUGCGCAAUAUUGUGCUAUUGGAUAUUUCUUGCUAUUGCGCAAUACUGUGCAAUUGAAGAUUUCUUGCUAUUGCGCAAUACUGUGCAAUUGACGAUUUCUUGCAAUUGUGCAAUACUGUGCAAUUGAAAAUUUCUUGCUAUUGCACAAUACUUAUUAUAUAAUAAUUUACACAUCCUGUUUGGUGUGUAUCUCCUACCAUAUCAUUAUUAUUUGCUUUUAAAUAUUAAUCAGAAAUAACCAACUUAAAAUGGAAAAUUUUAAAAGAAAAAAAAAAGGAAAAAAAGAAAAAAAAAGAAAAAAAAAAAUCCCCCCCCCCCCCAAUUUUUUGAACCCCCUUAUGAUUCAUCACCCCCAAACUCAAUCCCUGCCUUCCCUUUGUGGUAUGGUACCUUGCAGUACAAUUUCAGAGAGAUCCAUACACUUGAACACAAGUUAUUGUCUGGAAACUAGAAAAAUGCUUAUUUUUGGCCCCUUUUUGGCCCCCAAUUCCUAAACGUUUCAGGCAAUUACCCCCAAACUCAAUUCCAGCUUUCCCUUUGUGAUGUGGAACCUUGUAGUACAAUUUCAGAAAUAUCCAAACACUUACACACAAGUUAUUGUCAUGAAACUAGACAAAUGCUUGUUUUUUGCCCCUUUUUUGGCCCCUAAUUCCUAAAAUUUUGAGGCAAUUACCCCCAAAAUCAAUUACAGCCUUCCCUUUGUGAUAUGGAACCUUGUGGUACAAUGUCAGAGAGAUCCAUACACUUACACACAAGUUAUUGUCUGGAAGUUACAAAAAUGCUUAUUUUUGGCCCCUUUUUGGCCCCUAAUUCCUUAACUGUUGGUACCAUAACCCCCAAAAUCAAUCCCCACCUUCCUUUCGUGGUAUUGAACCUUAUGGUAAAAUUUUAUGGAGACCCAUUCACUUAAACUAAAGUUAGAGUGCGAAAACCAAUGUGUCUUCGGAUGACGCCGGACGACGCCAGACGACAACGACGACGACGAUGACGACGCCAACGUCAUACCAAUAUACGACCAAAAAAUUUUCAAUUUUUGCGGUCGUAUAAAAAGGGGGAAAA